rnacentral:rRNA from 1 species
GAUGAACGCUAGCGGCAGGCUUAACACAUGCAAGUCGAGGGGCAGCAUAAUGGAUAGCAAUAUCUAUGGUGGCGACCGGCGCACGGGUGCGUAACGCGUAUGCAACCUACCUUUAACAGGGGGAUAACACUGAGAAAUUGGCACUAAUACCCCAUAAUAUCAUAGAAGGCAUCUUUUAUGGUUGAAAAUUCCGAUGGUUAGAGAUGGGCAUGCGUUGUAUUAGCUAGUUGGUGGGGUAACGGCUCACCAAGGCGACGAUACAUAGGGGGACUGAGAGGUUAACCCCCCACACUGGUACUGAGACACGGACCAGACUCCUACGGGAGGCAGCAGUGAGGAAUAUUGGUCAAUGGACGCAAGUCUGAACCAGCCAUGCCGCGUGCAGGAUGACGGCUCUAUGAGUUGUAAACUGCUUUUGUACGAGGGUAAACGCAGAUACGUGUAUCUGUCUGAAAGUAUCGGACGAAUAAGGAUCGGCUAACUCCGUG